UACGUAGGGUGCAAGCGUUGUCCGGAAUUAUUGGGCGUAAAGAGCUCGUAGGCGGCUUGUCACGUCGACUGUGAAAACCCGGGGCUCAACUCCGGGCCUGCAGUCGAUACGGGCUGACUAGAGUACGGCAGGGGAGACUGGAAUUCCUGGUGUAGCGGUGAAAUGCGCAGAUAUCGGGAAGAACACCCGUGGCGAAGGCGGCUCUCUGGGACGGUACUGACGCUGAGACGCGAAAGCGUGGGGAGCGAACAGG
rnacentral:rRNA from 1 species